CCAGACUCCUACGGGAGGCAGCAGUGGGGAAUAUUGCACAAUGGGGGAAACCCUGAUGCAGCGACGCCGCGUGAGUGAAGAAGUAUUUCGGUAUGUAAAGCUCUAUCAGCAGGGAAGAAGUUGACGGUACCUGAGUAAGAAGCCCCGGCUAACUACGUGCCAGCAGCCGCGGUAAUACGUAGGGGGCAAGCGUUAUCCGGAUUUACUGGGUGUAAAGGGAGCGUAGACGGCAGUGCAAGUCUGAAGUGAAAGCCCCGGGCUUAACCCGGGAACUGCUUUGGAAACUGUCCGGCUGGAGUGCAGGAGAGGUAAGUGGAAUUCCUAGUGUAGCGGUGAAAUGCGUAGAUAUUAGGAGGAACGCCAGUGGCGAAGGCGGCUUACUGGACUGUAACUGACGUUGAGGCUCGAAAGCGUGGGGAGCAAACAGGAUUAGAUAC
rnacentral:rRNA from 1 species